rnacentral:rRNA from 1 species
ACAGGCUUAACACAUGCAAGUCGAGGGGCAACAUGAUUUUAGCUUGCUAAAAUUGAUGGCGACCGGCGCACGGGUGAGUAACGCGUAUGUAACUUGCCUACCAGAGGGGGAUAGCCCGGCGAAAGUCGGAUUAAUACCGCAUAAAACAGGGGUUCCGCAUGGAGAUAUUUGUUAAAGGAUUUCCGCUGGUAGAUAGGCAUGCGUUCCAUUAGAUAGUUGGCGGGGUAACGGCCCACCAAGUCAACGAUGGAUAGGGGUUCUGAGAGGAAGGUCCCCCACAUUGGUACUGAGACACGGACCAAACUCCUACGGGAGGCAGCAGUGAGGAAUAUUGGUCAAUGGGCGAUAGCCUGAACCAGCCAAGUCGCGUGAAGGAAGAAGGAUCUAUGGUUUGUAAACUUCUUUUAUACGGGAAUAAAGUGUGCCACGUGUGGCAUUUUGCAUGUACCGUAUGAAUAAGCAUCGGCUAACUCCGUGCCAGCAGCCGCGGUAAUACGGAGGAUGCGAGCGUUAUCCGGAUUUAUUGGGUUUAAAGGGAGCGUAGACGGGAGAUUAAGUCAGUUGUGAAAGGCUGCGGCUCAACCGCAGCACUGCAGUUGAUACUGGUUUCCUUGAGUGCGGUUGAGGUGUAUGGAAUUCGUGAUGUAGCGGUGAAAUGCUUAGAUAUCACGAAGAACUCCGAUUGCGAAGGCAGUACACUAAGCCGUAACUGACGUUGAGGCUCGAAAGUGUGGGUAUCAAACAGGAUUAGAUACCCUGGUAGUCCACACGGUAAACGAUGAAUACUCGCUGUUGGCGAUACAAUGUCAGCGGCCAAGCGAAAGCAUUAAGUAUUCCACCUGGGGAGUACGCCGGCAACGGUGAAACUCAAAGGAAUUGACGGGGGCCCGCACAAGCAGUGGAUUAUGUGGUUUAAUUCGACGCAACGCGAAGAACCUUACCAGGGUUUGACAUCCAACUAACGAAGUAGAGAUACAUUAGGUGCCCUUCGGGGAAAGUUGAGACAGGUGGUGCAUGGUUGUCGUCAGCUCGUGUCGUGAGAUGUUGGGUUAAGUCCCGCAACGAGCGCAACCCCUAUUGUUAGUUGCUACGCAAGAGCACUCUAGCGAGACUGCCGUUGACAAAACGGAGGAAGGCGGGGACGACGUCAAAUCAUCAUGCCCCUUAUAUCCUGGGCUACACAUGUAAUACAAUGGUGGUUAACAGAGGGAGGCAAUGCCGCGAGGCGGAGCAAAUCCCUAAAAGCCAUCUCAGUUCGGAUUGCAGGCUGCAACUCGCCUGCAUGAAGCUGGAAUUGCUAGUAAUCGCGGAUCAGCAUGCCGCGGUGAAUACGUUCCCGGGCCUUG